rnacentral:rRNA from 1 species
ACGUAGGGGGAAAGCGUUGUCCGGAAUUACUGGGCGUAAAGAGCACGUAGGCGGUUUAUUAAGUUAGAUGUGAAAGUUUGCAGCUUAACUGUAAAAGUGCAUUUAAAACUGGUAGACUUGAGUCUCGGAGAGGUAAGCGGAAUUCCUAGUGUUGCGGUGAAAAUGGUAGAGGUUAGGAAGAACACCGGUGGCGAAGGCGGCUUUCUGGACGAGUACUGACGGUCCGGUGCGAAAGCGUGGGGAGCAAACAG